CCGAAUCAAACAAACGGUGCGUUUCUCGGACAUUGUCAGCACACAUGUUAUUACAUUACAUCUAACAUUAUGUUAUGCAACAAAUUAAACCACCAUUUCUUCAAAUCUAUACAACACCCCCUUUUCUUCUUCUUCCAUCUUUUUUCAGAACCCAAAAUACCCAGAAAAAGAAACAAAAAUUCAGGCCAAAAACUCUAUUUUUAUGCUCCUUUAAACUUCUUCUUCUUCUUCUAUCUUUUUUCAGAACCCAAAAUACCCAGAAAAAGAAACAAAAAUUAAGGCCAAAAACUCCAUUUUUAUGCUCCUUUAAACAUUGACAACUCUUUUCUCUGUCCCCAAGUGCAAAAAAAAAAAAAUAGUAUUGUGUACGCACCACUAUGGAACUUUU
rnacentral:lncRNA from 1 species